ACGUAGGGGGCUAGCGUUGUCCGGAAUCACUGGGCGUAAAGGGUUCGCAGGCGGAAAUGCAAGUCAGAUGUAAAAGGCAGUAGCUUAACUACUGUAAGCAUUUGAAACUGCAUAUCUUGAGAAGAGUAGAGGUAAGUGGAAUUUUUAGUGUAGCGGUGAAAUGCGUAGAUAUUAAAAAGAAUACCGGUGGCGAAGGCGACUUACUGGGCUCAUUCUGACGCUGAGGAACGAAAGCGUGGGUAGCAAACAGG
rnacentral:rRNA from 1 species